rnacentral:rRNA from 1 species
AGUGAACGCUGGCGGUAGGCCUAACACAUGCAAGUCGAACGGCAGCACAGUAAGAGCUUGCUCUUACGGGUGGCGAGUGGCGGACGGGUGAGGAAUACAUCGGAAUCUACUUUUUCGUGGGGGAUAACGUAGGGAAACUUACGCUAAUACCGCAUACGACCUACGGGUGAAAGCAGGGGAUCUUCGGACCUUGCGCGAUUGAAUGAGCCGAUGUCGGAUUAGCUAGUUGGCGGGGUAAAGGCCCACCAAGGCGACGAUCCGUAGCUGGUCUGAGAGGAUGAUCCGCCACACUGGAACUGAGACACGGUCCAGACUCCUACGGGAGGCAGCAGUGGGGAAUAUUGGACAAUGGGCGCAAGCCUGAUCCAGCCAUACCGCGUGGGUGAAGAAGGCCUUCUGGUUGUAAAGCCCUUUUGUUGGGAAAGAAAAGCAGCAGGUUAAUACCCCGCUGUUCUGACGGUACCCAAAGAAUAAGCACCGGCUAACUUCGUG